rnacentral:lncRNA from 1 species
AAAUGUUAAAUUCCUACCUACACCAUCAUUGUUUGAAAUAUAUGCCAUUGCCUUCUCAUCAUCAUUGUCGCUAAUGAGAACAACAAUUAAAGGCACACUAUGCCAGGUACUGUGUCUAAGUUAUUCUUGGUGGAAGUUGCAUUGCAUGUCUAAUAAAGUCAUCAAUCCCUUCUACAAAAUACUCCCGCAAUCCUAAAUUUCAAUUCAUAUCCACAAAAGUUCAAUUCAUAUCCUAAAGGCUCAAUUCAUAUCCUAAAAGUUCAAUUCAUACACAAAAAUUUCAAUUCAUAUCCUAAAAGUUCAAUUCAUACACAAAAAUUUCAAUUCAUAUCCUAAAGGUUCAACUCAUAUCCACAAAAGUUCAAGUCAUAUCCUAAAAUUUUAAUUUAUAAACUAAAAUUCCAAUACAUAAACUAUAUCCUAAAGGUUUAAUUCAUAUCCUAAAGGUUCAACUCAUAUCCACAAAAGUUCAAGUCAUAUCCUAAAAUUUUAAUUUAUAAACUAAAAUUCCAAUACAUAAUCCUAAAGGUGCAACUCUUAGGGUUUCUUCUCUUCAAACAAUUUCUUCUCCAAAUUAGUAGGUAAAACUAAAUAUUUU